rnacentral:rRNA from 1 species
GAUGAACGCUGGCGGCGUGCCUAAUACAUGCAAGUCGAACGGGGAGUAGCAAUACUCUUAGUGGCGAACGGGUGAGUAACGCGUUGGUACCUGCCCCGAAGCGGGGGAUAACGGACCGAAAGGUCCGCUAAUACCCCAUGUGCUCGGUAACGAGUAAAGGUGAAAACCACUUUGGGAGGGGCCUGCGUCCCAUCAGCUAGUUGGUAAGGUAACGGCUUACCAAGGCGAUGACGGGUAGGGGACCUGAGAGGGUGGCCCCCCACAAUGGAACUGAAACACGGUCCAUACACCUACGGGUGGCAGCAGUAGGGAAUAUUGGUAAUGGGCGCAAGCCUGAACCAGCAACGCCGCGUGUGCGAUGACGGCCUUCGGGUUGUAAAGCACUGUUGACUGGGACGAGGAAGGACGGUACCGGUCGAAUCAGCCUCGGCUAACUACGUG